GGAGUUCAUUUGCCACUUGUCUCUUUGUGUGAUGGCCCACAGGCCCAGAUGGUCUUCUUCCACCUCUCUCUUUUUCUGCUUUUUCUUUUGCCUUUUUCUCACCAUUCCUCAGACUUAUGAGCACAUAUGUUACAUGAUAUUGCACAAUCAUGAUAAUGUGGUUUUGUCACUUUUUGGAAUGUGUCCCAUACGCUAUAGUCUUCCCACUUACCAUCUUCUGUAUUGGAUGCUCACUGUGGGGUCUCAAAAGUGAGAGAGUAAAGCUUGGAGAGUGACUCAAAACCAACCAAAAUCAAAAACCAUAGCAUAAUAAUAACAGUAAUAAUGGUGUUGAUAAUGGCCACUUUGGUGGGGAUCUUGAUGGAAUUGAUAAGAUAAGAUACACGAAUGUGUGUCACUGCCACUACGGCUCAAUCAUUGUAACGAACAAAGGAGGAAGCAGUGAAAAACUUUCCUUUGGGUGAAACACCUUUCAAGGAACUCUCUUCAAACAAAGGUUUUGGUAUUUAACCAUCAUGGUUUGGAUGGUAAAGCAAUAUAGGGUUUUGUUCACUUUGAUACACAGUUCUAUGAACCUGGGAUAAAGGAGUGAUUACAUAUCAGCUUGUGUUCUGGGAUUAUGUAAGGUAAGAUGCUGUGGUUUUUCAUUUGGCAGGUUUGGCUUUGUUGCUAAUUUUCUGUUUUAGUAAAAUCCAUCAAGACAAUGAAUUGAAGAAUGAUAUUCAUGCACUGGUUUGGUGCUAGUUUCUUGAUCUAAUCAAUAGAUUGGCUGCAUUUAUCGUAUGCUAUUACACAAACAUAGACAUGAGGAUUCAAUAACUCUUCACCAAAUGCUUAAAUUUCCAACCAUGUUACAUUAUAUUGGUUCACUGGUUAGGUGUAUAAUUUCUGUUGUUUGAAAGCCUUAAUCUGCUGAAUAGACAAUGUCAGAAGUUUUCCAACACUCCAAAGUCUGAUAGAUUCUGUUGUGCUGUGUUGUGUCUCUUCAGUCUUUGUACUGUUGUUGAGGUUAGGUUUUUGUUUUGUUGAAUAUUGAAUAUGCACUCAAGGUUGUAAUGGGUACGUCAAAAUGACUUCAUAUUUGUUUCUUUCCCAUUUUAUUUAGCAAAUUAGUCGAUCCAAAACUUUAAUUUCUGAAGUCCAUGCACCUUUUCAAAUUCAAAUGUCUACUUCAUCGAAUUUGUCGAACAAAUAAUCAUUAACAGCUUUGCUUAAAGUCCAAUUUCAAUUUGUAAAUAAAGUCAGCAUUCAGCAAAGUUUUAUUCUCUAUGUUCACAUUACUUUAUUCUAUGAGCAUUUCAAAAUCCCUCCAAACACGAUCAACCUGGUACAUAGUUUGUUUGACUGUGCAUGAUAUUUUCUGGUGCAUCUGAAAGAACACUGCAAUGAACUUUGACCACUGAGUCAAGUCAGAAACCAUCAGCUUCCUAUGAAGCACUGUUGGUCUGACUACUAUUUGUUGCUUUGGCUUUAAACUUCAAAUUGAAAUUAGUUCUGGAAAAAUUGAACAUAAUCCAAACAGGAACUGGAAAAAAGCAUGAAAAUUUUCAUCUGGGGUUGAUUCUCAAAUAUUACUGUAUAAAUGAAAAACAAAGGACAGUGUGUGACCAGUGUACUUUUCUAAAAGGGAGAGUUGCAGGUAUCAUAUAGAGGGACAGUAGUCUGCAGGCUGUUUUUUGUAGGCACCUGCUCAGAAUCACGCAAAAGAGUUGCACGGAUCUUUUUCAUUGUUGACGUGAAAGAAAUGUACCUCACAAUGUACUGAUCCUCAUAUAAAAAGGGUGAAACACUGAUUCCAAGUGAAAAUGGAGGGAAGUACCAGUUAAUGGUGGGUGCAUAUAACUUUUGGAGUGAAGGUGAAAAUGUGACUAAAAAAUAUCACAUUGAAUGAAGAUGAACAUAUUGAGCAAUUUAUAAAUAGCUUAGAUUCAUACUUCAAAUGUGUUUGGUUAAGCAGCUAUAUGGAAUUUACCUUCUCUUAGACAUACAGUAAUCACCAAAUUGUGAAAUUGUUUUUAAUCUUGUUUGCUGUUUUCAAAGAUUUUACAGGGAACAGAUAAAAACUUAAUGUCUUGUGGUUUUAAGGAAUGAUAUUUUGACAAUUUCCAGUUUAGGUACUUCACAAUCUUACUAUAAUAAUAGUAAGAUAUGUGUCAGGAAAAUAGUCUUUAAACUUUAUUAUUAUAUUAAUGUAAGAGGGUGGUUGUUAAUUGAUUGAACAUGGAAAAGAAAUUUUCACAGCAUCAUUUUCAUAUGGUUUCUGUCAAGGUUUUGAAUGCAUUAUAUGUACUUAAGUGAGAUGAGAAGACCAGUGUAUAAGUGACAAUGGAACUCAUGAAUAGUUUGUUAUUCAAAACUUUCUUUUUCCUUGUUCUCAAUCACAUCAUCAAUCUUAAUUUUUUCUUCUCUUUUGUCUCUUUUUAUCACAUAUUUAUAUAGGAAAGUUGGAUCAUUUUGUUGAUUUGGAAUCACUGAUGGUGAUAAUAAAUCUACCUCUACAUACUGAUGUAGUAAAACUUUUUAGUUAACCCAAAAGUCAAUGCAAAAACAGGUUUUGUCAUGGGAUGAUGCAACUGGAGUUGUUCACUUAUACUGUAUUUUCAGUGUUGACAGGUUCAGAACUUCUGGAUGUAGCUUUUUGAAAACCUGUACUGUAACAGUAUGGAACUGUAGUACCUAAUAGCUUAUAGGAAAUUUCUUCCUAAAAUGUGUUUCUGAAUUUGAUUUAACCUGGAUUGGUUCACUAUGUGUAGUUGAUAAAUGAAGUAAACCAGUGGAACAUGAAUAGAACCUUUUGGUUGAAAAAAAGAAGAGAUACUCUGCAGAGAUUUUGCCUAAUAACUAAAAAUUCUCAAAAUUUGAUUACAUGAGUAAAACCUUUUAGUGCAUGCUUCAGUUAAAUCUGAAGGCAGCAAAAUAUGUAAAUAACAGAAGUCACAGAGAAUAAUAUGUGAAUAACUGAUUUUAGAAAAAUCAUUGUUUCUGAAUUAUCAUAAUUAUAAAUAAUACUUAGCAGAAAAAUAUAAUACUGGUUUGGAAUUCAGAAACUUUGAAGGGAAUAGAAACUAAUCAGUAAUUAGUGGUGGUAGGUAAGUUUAUUACCAUGGUUUUCAGGCCUCAGUAUUUGUAAUCAUGUCACCGACCACAAAGACCAGAGAACAGUGGUGUUGGCAGCAAAAGUCACUUUCAAUUAGUGCUAAAUCCCAAGGUUGAUGUGCAGAAAAAGACUUCUCUAGAGAUGGAUAACUAGACAAAUCUAAAGCAUCUCAUCAAGUUUCAAUGUCAUCCUCCUCAUUUUUUGUACACUUUCCAAUUUUGUUAAUGGAUAUAUUUUGAUAAAAAGUAAACUUAUAAAUUUGGAAAACAAUUUUAUAUUUUUUUAUGAAUGAUUUUAAAUUCAUAUGUAAAUUGUGUUUAUUUUAUUAAAAACUUUAAUUUAUUACAUUUUAGAAAGUAUUUUUUGGAAAAAUGUAUCCAAAUACAUAAGCAUAAGUAGCAAUGUUUCUUUUGAUGAUGUUACAAAAUUAGAAGUUACCACUAGUACAGAAAUGACCUUUAAGGUCACCUCGUAGAUGUCGGACCACAAAAUAAUCAACGUAAAUUAUUGACCGGUGACAUUUUCGUAAAUAAGUUGGGUAUAUAGAUGUCUGUUAGGAGGAGCCCUCUAUAAUAUUAUAGACGUCGGGGCCCCUCCUAACGGACGUCUAUAUGCCUGACAGGUAGAUGAAUAGUCAUUAUUUUCCGCCAUAUAGACGUCUGAUCCCGCCAUCCCGACGUCUAUAUACGAUUAUCGACGUCGGCCCCAUGUAACAGAAGUCUAUAUGGCUGACAAGAUAGGUGAAAAGUUAACCUAGACGUCGGACACCCUCUUAACCGACGUCUAUAUGUCCUGCGAAUAUUAAUUUUUAAAUGAGAAAGACGUCAUAUUAGUGAGGGUCCCGACGUCUAUACUAUUAUAGACGUCAGUCCCCAUCAAUGCCCGACGUUUAUAGUCUAUUAUACUGGAAAACGCGAACCCGCGAGGAGUUACGCUCACUGUUCAUCGUCUUCCUCCUCGCGUUUUCUCUCCACGGCAUUGCAUUUUCAGUUUCUAGCGUGUUCUUGGGUGGCGUUUUUGACCAUUUUUGGCCUACGUUUUUGGGCGUGCACUCCUCCAUUUCCCUCCAUUGUUUUUUUAAUCUGCUAAAAAGCCGAUGCAUGAACCAAUCAUAGAUGAAGAUUAUGAGAUGGCUGAAGUGGAGGAUGAUCCUCUACCAAAGCUAAUGACAAGAUUAACCAGGUUGAAGAGAGGAGCACUAGAAAUAUAUUGGGAUUUGAGAGUAUUUGGUCUUCCCCCCAUGUGCUAUUAUAUAUCACAUUCAAUGAUGCAUUGGAGAUCAUUGGGGGAGACAUGAUAUUGAAUAUUUUCAUCCUUUAACUAUGAUGCAUGUACAUGGACACAAUCAUUGUAGACCAAGGUCGGUGUUCCAUGUACGAAUUUGUUGAACCUCAGACCAUUCAAUCUUCUGGUAACACAUUUAAAAGCAAACACUAUUAUUUACAAACAUGGAUGGCUGAGUCAAAUAGAGAUGUAUAUCUUGUGCCAUACAUUGAUGGGUCUCACUGGCAGCUGAUGAUCACCAUUCCCAGACAAUGUAGAAUUAUAUGGUUUUGUUCGCUGCACAGAAGAUGAAAAAUGACUUGAGAAACAUGCUUCAAGGAGUUAUGGGUAAAUCUCGAGGUCAACUAGUUCAAGUUUUGUAUCCAAAGUGUAACAAGCAGCUAGAUUCAUGGGAAUGUGACUUCUAUGUCAUGUCUUGGAUUAAGACUAUCAUUCGAGCUGCCAUUACAGAUGACUGGAAUGAGCGCUUCAAGAAUACAUCUCCUAUACUAGAGGACACAAUUAGGCUGAUAAGGCAAGAGUGAACAACUUAUCUUCUGCAAAGAUGGAGUUAGGAACACUUAUAUUUGUUGUUGAACAUACUUAGGAUUAGUUUAAUUUUAUAUUUUGAUAGUUUUGGUAUUGGAUUGUUUUUUAGAUUAAGUAGAACUUUCUUUAGUUGAA